rnacentral:tRNA from 3 species
GGCCGUGUGGCUCAAUGGCAGAGCGUCUGACUACGAUUCAUACGAAAUCAGAAGGUCGCAGGUUCGACCCCUGUCUCGGUCA